rnacentral:rRNA from 1 species
AUUGAACGCUGGCGGCAGGCCUAACACAUGCAAGUCGAACGAGUGGCGGACGGGUGAGUAAUGUCUGGGAAACUGCCUGCUUGAAGGGGAUAACUACUGGAAACGGUAGCUAAUACCGCAUACCAUCAGAUGUGCCCAGAUGGGAUUAGCUUGUUGGUGGGGUAACGUCUCACCAAGGCGACGAUCCCUAGCUGGUCUGAGAGGAUGACCAGCCACACUAGAACUGAGCCACGGUCCAGACGCCUACGGGAGGCAGCAGUGGAGAAUAUUGCACAAUGGGCGCAAGCCUGAUGCAGACCUGCCGCGUGUAUUAAGAAGGCAUUCGGGUAGUAGAGUACUUUCAGCGUGAAAGCGUUACCCGCAGAAGAAGCACCGGCUAACUCCGUGCCAGCAGCCGCGGUAAUAC